CCUACGGGUGGCAGCAGUGAGGAAUAUUGGUCAAUGGACGCAAGCCUGAACCAGCCAAGUAGCGUGAAGGAUGACUGCCCUACGGGUUGUAAACUUCUUUUAUAAAGGAAUAAAGUGAGGCACGUGUGCCUUUUUGUAUGUACUUUAUGAGUAAAGAUCGGCUAACUCCGUGCCCGCAGCCGCGGUAAUACGGAGGAUCCGAGCGUUAUCCGGAUUUAUUGGGUUUAAAGGGAGCGUAGAUGGGUUGUUAAGUCAGUUGUGAAAGUUUGCGGCUCAACCGUAAAAUUGCAAUUGAAACUGGCAGCCUUGAGUACAGAUGAGGUAGGCGGAAUUCGUGGUGUAGCGGUGAAAUGCUUAGAUAUCACGAAGAACUCCGAUUGCGAAGGCAGCUUACUAAACUGCCACUGACAUUGAUGCUCGAAAGUGUGGGUAUCAAACAGGAUUAGAUACCCGGGUAGUC
rnacentral:rRNA from 1 species